UGGGGAAUUUUGCACAAUGGGGGAAACCCUGAUGCAGCGACGCCGCGUGAUUUAGAAGGCCUUCGGGUUGUAAAAAUCUUUUUUACGGGAUGAAAAUGACAGUACCGUAAGAAUAAGGUCCGGCUAAAUACGUGCCAGCAGCCGCGGUAAUACGUAUGGACCGAGCGUUGUCCGGAAUCAUUGGGCGUAAAGGGUACGUAGGCGGCCUAGUAAGUUAGAAGUUAAAGAAUAUAGCUCAACUAUAUAAAGCUUUUAAAACUGCUAGGCUUGAGAGAUGGAAGGGAAAGUGUAAUUCCUAGUGUGGCGGUGAAAUGCGCAGAUAUUAAGAAGAAUACCGGUGGCGAAGGCGACUUUCUGGUCAUCAUCUGACGCUGAGGUACGAAAGCGUGGGUAGCAAACAGG
rnacentral:rRNA from 1 species